rnacentral:tRNA from 5 species
GCCGGAUUAGCACAGUGGUAGUGCAGCGGUUUUGUAAACCGAAGGUCGGGAGUUCAAAUCUCUCAUCCGGCACCA